rnacentral:rRNA from 1 species
AGCGAACGCUGGCGGCAGGCUUAACACAUGCAAGUCGAACGGGCACUUCGGUGCUAGUGGCAGACGGGUGAGUAACACGUGGGAACGUACCUUUCGGUUCGGAGUAAUUCAGGGAAACUUGGACUAAUACCGGAUACGCCCUUCGGGGGAAAGAUUUAUCGCCGAUAGAUCGGCCCGCGUCUGAUUAGCUAGUUGGUGAGGUAAUGGCUCACCAAGGCGACGAUCAGUAGCUGGUCUGAGAGGAUGAUCAGCCACAUUGGGACUGAGACACGGCCCAAACUCCUACGGGAGGCAGCAGUGGGGAAUAUUGGACAAUGGGCGCAAGCCUGAUCCAGCCAUGCCGCGUGAGUGAUGAAGGCCUUAGGGUUGUAAAGCUCUUUUGUCCGGGAAGAUAAUGACUGUACCGGAAGAAUAAGCCCCGGCUAACUUCGUGCCAGCAGCCGCGGUAACAC